rnacentral:rRNA from 1 species
UCAAUAAGCGGAGGAAAAGAAACCAACAGGGAUUGCCUCAGUAACGGCGAGUGAAGCGGCAACAGCUCAAAUUUGAAAUCUGGCUCCUUCGGGGCCCGAGUUGUAAUUUGCAGAGGAUGUGUCGGGUACGGGUUCCCUCCGAGUUCCCUGGAACGGGACGCCAUAGAGGGUGAGAGCCCCGUCUGGUAGGACACCCAGCCCGUGUGACACUCCCUCGACGAGUCGAGUAGUUUGGGAAUGCUGCUCUAACGGGAGGUAUACUCCUUCCAAGGCUAAAUACCGGCUGGAGACCGAUAGCGCACAAGUAGAGUGAUCGAAAGAUGAAAAGUACUUUGAAAAGAGAGUCAAAUAGCACGUGAAAUUGUUAAAAGGGAAGCACUCGCUACCAGACUUGGGUUCGGCGGUUCAACCGGGGCCACGCCCCGGGGCAUUCCGCCGGCCCAGGCCAGCAUCAGCUUUCCGUCGGGGGCAAAGGCGUCGGGAAUGUGGCUCCCCCUCGGGGGAGUGUUAUAGCCCGGCGCGUCAUACCCUUCGGGGGGCUGAGGUACGCGCUUCUGCAAGGAUGCUGGCGUAAUGGUAGCUAGUGACCCGUCUUGAAACACGGACCAAGGAGUCGACCUUAUGUGCGAGUGCCCGGGCGUAAAACCCCAGCGCGGAAUGAAAGUGAACGUAGGUGAGAGCUUCGGCGCAUCACCGACCGAUCCAGAUGUCCUCGGACGGAUUUGAGUGAGAGCAUAUAGGGUCGGACCCGAAAGAAGAUGAACUAUGCGUGUGUAGGGUGAAGCCAGAGGAAACUCUGGUGGAGGCUCGCAGCGGUUCUGACGUGCAAAUCGAUCGUCAAACAUGCGCAUGGGGGCGAAAGACUAAUCGAAUCUUCUGGUAGCUUGGUU